rnacentral:sRNA from 1 species
CAUCAUCGGUGCACUGUGCUGAUGAGCCUCCAAAAGGGCGAAACAGCUGUCCAUAGUUGCCGUUGUUUGAGCUU